GAGGGCGUUAUAAGACCUGCUAACUCUUUAACUGGAAAUUA
rnacentral:tRNA from 1 species